rnacentral:rRNA from 1 species
GACGAACGCUGGCGGCGUGCCUAAUACAUGCAAGUCGAGCGGAUGGAAGGAAGCUUGCUUCCUAAAGUCAGCGGCGGACGGGUGAGUAACACGUGGGCAACCUGCCCCUAAGAUCGGGAUAACUUCGGGAAACCGGAGCUAAUACCGGAUAUGAUUAUGUCUCACAUGAGACAUAAUGGAAGGACGGUUUCGGCUGUCACUUAGGGAUGGGCCCGCGGCGCAUUAGCUAGUUGGUGAGGUAACGGCUCACCAAGGCGACGAUGCGUGGCCGACCUGAGAGGGUGAUCGGCCACACUGGGACUGAGACACGGCCCAGACUCCUACGGGAGGCAGCAGUAGGGAAUCUUCCGCAAUGGACGAAAGUCUGACGGAGCAACGCCGCGUGAGUGAAGAAGGUUUUCGGAUCGUAAAACUCUGUUGUUAGGGAAGAACAAGUACCAUAGUAACUGAUGGUACCUUGACGGUACCUAACCAGAAAGCCACGGCUAACUACGUGCCAGCCGCCGCAGUAAUAC